UGGGGGUUUUCGAAAUUCACACUCCACCCUUUGUGACCUUACCGUCGUUUCCUCGGCGCAUCGCCGCGCCUGGCCCCCGGGGAGGGGUAGCUACCCUGCAGGGCACUUACCCUGCAGGGGAUCGCUGCCCCGCCCCGGGGAAAAGGCAGCGGCGGCGCCGAAAGGACCAUCGAAAAUUUUCUUAGAACACUCUUCGAAACAUUAUUCGAGACACUUCUUAGAACACUCUUCGAAACACUGUUCGAGAAAUUUCCUAGAAGCUUUCAUAGAAUAACCCUCUUAGAAACUCCGCUAGAAAAUCCUUCGAACAACUCUUAGAAGAUUCUUAGAAAAAUUCUUAGAAAAAUUUCCUUUAUCCCCAAACCUCUCUUAUCCAAGCCACUUUGAACAACUAGUUACAAAAAAUAGUUUAAAACUUUCAACAACGGAUCUCUUGGUUCUGGCAUCGAUGAAGAACGCAGCGAAAUGCGAUAACUAAUGUGAAUUGCAGAAUUCAGUGAAUCAUCGAAUCUUUGAACGCACAUUGCGCCCGCCAGCAUUCUGGCGGGCAUGCCUAUCCGAGCGUCAUUUCGACCCUUAAGCCCUGUUGCUUAGCGUUGGGAGUCUGCGUCUUCGGCGCAGUUCCUUAAAAUCAGUGGCGGAGUCAGGGCACACUCUAGGCGUAGUAGUUUCAACGCCUCGCCUCUAGAGUGGCCCCGGCCUCCUGCCGUAAAACCCCUACAACUUCUAGUGGUUGACCUCGGAUUAGGUAGGAAUACCCGCUGAACUUAAGCAUAUCAAUAAGCGGAGGAAAA
rnacentral:rRNA from 1 species